GCCGUAUCUAUCGAUAAGUUUACGUUCUUCCUUCAAAUGUAAACAAACUGUCGGUAGUGGCGUGAAUUCGAAUUUUUUCUUCAAGAACAGAGAGCAUCAACCUGAAGAGAGCACUUACCUAAAACUUGUAUUUGGAGGCCUCUUAUCAGGUGCUUACAGAUGGAAGUAGAAAUUAUUUGGAAGUCUGGUUUCAACAGAGAACAAUUAUUUUGCAGGUCAGCAGAUUGAUGAUGUUCUGUAUUCAGCUGUUGAAUUAUCUGCCAUUUAAAGAGUAGGGAAUGGCUGCUCCUUGCCCAAUGAAGUAUUUUUUUUUGAGGUGGACUGGAGCUUGCUGCUCCAAAACUGCUCUAGCUAUUAAACUCCUGCAGGUUAUUGAAAACUGGUUACUGUUGAAGCCGUCACCAAAUUUACAUUGUGGCAUUUUCUUUCACUUCUAAUUUGCAAAUAGCAUUGUUACCACUUUCAAAUGAAAUGUAAGCCAGUUGGGAUGCUGAAGAAUUAGAAAUAUGUUAAUAAUAAGUUCUGCAUUGCCAACAAUCUUCUUGGAUCAGAAAUAUUAAUUGAUGCUUGUUACUUAUAAGUAACCCCACCCAAGUGUGAAUCACCAAUUGGAAUAAAACAUUGCACAUUGAUAGAUUACUUUAAAAUAUUGAACACGUAUUGUUUUCAUAGAAAAAAAACUAAGAAAACUAAAGUUUACAUGCUUCAGAAUUUUUCUGAAAAUCCAAAAUAUAGGGGUAAUCUAUCAGCGAUAUUUCCCCGUCAUGGUAAAUGACCUUGAAAUUUAAAAAUCUCUCUAAAGAAAGUCAUGCAAUAUAUCAAUAGAAAGCUUUUUUUUUAACUUUACAAUGCGUUUUAAUUUUUAUUGUAUUAUAAUUUGGAGAGAAGUUACAGUCAUUUGUAAGAACUCACUUGUUAAAAGUGUUUUAUGAUGGGGAAAAGAACAAAAGUUCAAUGUUUUUAAGUAUUCUAUAGAAGUGUAAAAUUUUAUUCAGAUCAUUAUUGAAACUGGGGCGUGUUAGUGUAUCCCAAUAAAGGGUAAAAAAUUACAUUAAAGGGUAAAUUUCACCGUGUGAAAGGUGUCUGUUAUUGAUAACAAAAAAACACCGGAUCAAUAUUUUAGAGUGUUCUAUUGAUGUGCAAAGUUUUAUUCUAAUCGAUAAUUCACUCUUGGGUAGGGUUAAUUGUUAGUUACCAAGUCACUUUCUUCAGUAGUAGAAGCCUUACAUGUAAGUAUUCAGUUACGCAUUUAUUACUACGCUUUACUUUGUAUGUUUUCUGUAAACAUAGCUUUCAACGAAAAAGAAAAAGCCUGUUGAAAACACUUUUUUUUAUUUCUUCUCAAAUAUCUAAUACUGAAAAACUAAUAUAAUUGUUGCAAUUAAAAAGUGCGAUUUUCAUUGUGAAAUAUUGCUUUACUUUUUAUUCAAAUCAAGGGUGCCCAUAUGCAAAAUUGUAAAGGGGGGCUCAGAUAUUUUCCCAAUGGUUUAGCAGGAUAUUUUCCCCAUGGAAACUGAUUUCAGUGCAGAUUAGAGUUAUUAAAAUUUGACAUUUUUAAUAACUUAUUCAUUAACGGCUGAAGAAGAAAUGUUUUUACAUUUUUGCAAAGAAAAAAGUACUAAAGCAAGGAAAUUCUAAGGGGGGGGGGGGCUUAGCACCCACUGCCCCCCCCAUUAUGGGCGCCCUUGAUUCAAAUCACUUUGAGUAGUUCCUGGACAUAGGCUUUUGUGUUGAGAAAACUUUUGUUAUUUAUUACUUUAAUAUGAAUUUAUUUUUUGGCUCCAAAAAACAAACUUGUUUUACUUCUGUAAAAUAAUAUUUUUUGAUGCAUUUUCAAAGAUUUUGCUAAUGCCUGAAUCUCAAAAUAUUUUUCAAUUCCUUCAUUUUGGUGAAAACUAAAGUAAAAUAUCAAAAAUCUGUGGUAAUUGGGCCUCAUAGUACCUCGGAUUAUUGGAAAACUUAAUUUUCAACACAAACUUAUAUUGAAAUUAUCUCUAAAGGAAUUUUAGAUAGUUUUUUCCCAUGAUGUCUUAGCACAUUUUUGUGUGAACUUGUAGGCUACCAAAAAAAUACAUUUUGAAAGCCCCAGACUCCAUUUUGAUUAAUUUUAACGUGUGAUUAGAUGUGUGUGUAAGAUGUGUGUUUAUUUAGAUGUGUGUGUAAGUUCUACACAUGUUAUGUAAUGGUAUUAAGCAUGUAAUUGAUUCCAGUUAGAAAAUAGUUUACUCUGAAGAUCAAGAUACUUGGUGAUAUACAAGAUAUUGUCAAAAUUUGAUAUGGAUAUUGUAAUAUUUUGUGUCUGUCAAAAAGAAUUUUGGUUGUUAUAAAAAGAUAAAAUUAUUGUUAAUAGUAUUUUAAAUACUGAGCUCUAUUGAUGUCCCGCACAGUUUUUAUUUAUUCAAUAUUUGACAUGUUUUGGUUUUGCGGUCAUUCCACAGUAUUCAUUACGUAUAUAGGUUUUUUCACUGAAAUAUACAAAGAACAAAGUUUCCAAUUAUUUUAAUCUCUUAAUAUUUGUAUUUUCAUAGUUAGAAAAAUAUAAAUGUAUUGAAACUUAGCUAUGAAAUGUCUCAUACAUAACACUGAAUAGUGUGGAAUGAGUCUUUAAAUGUUAAGUAGAAUUUGUCUCAUGGAUACCAAACAAAGUGAAUUAGUUUAUUUCAUUUAUAUAAUCAUUCAUUAAUUCAAUUACAUUUACUCAUUAGCUCAUUCAUUCAUUAAUCUAUUCAUUCUUAUGACAAAAACAUAUUUUUUCAUAAUUCAGUUGCAAAUAUUUCAUUAAAAAAUACUUCAAUUAUAAAUUUUAUGUAAAGGUGCAAAUUUACAACUAAAAAGAAAAAAAAAGAUCAAUAUAAGUUUGAUUAUAAAAUAGUCUGUUCUCUCUUUAUGUGCUAUAAUUAAAAAAAAAAAUGUUCAUUUUGAAAAAUGCAAGUUACCUUAACUGUUUCACUUCUUCUCACAUUUCCCUAUUUGUGCAUCCUUUUGCUGGACUUCAAAGCGCUAACAUAUGUAAUGACCGGACUGCAGAGUCGGAAGGAAAAUGGCUGACUCCAACUCUUGGAUUUUGAAACUUCCAACUCCAACUUAUUUAUUUAUGUAAUUUUUUUCUAUCCUUCCCCCCUUAUGAGAAAGGAGAAAAAACAGAGCUUGACAUAUUAAUUCAUUUUUAUGAAAUUUUAGCCUUGUAUUUUAUUGUAAAUGUAAGAUGCGUACAGUGUUAGAAAUUAAAUUUGAAACUCAC